CCUACGGGGGGCUGCAGUCGAGAAUCUUUCACAAUGGGGGCAACCCUGAUGGAGCGACGCCGCGUGGAGGAUAAGGUCUUCGGAUUGUAAACUCCUGUCAUGUGUGAACAAGGUUGUCUCGUUAAUAGCGGGGCAAAUUGAUGGUAACACAAGAGGAAGAGACGGCUAACUCUGUGCCAGCAGCCGCGGUAAUACAGAGGUCUCAAGCGUUGUUCGGAAUCACUGGGCGGAAGCGUGGCGUAGGUGGUGUGAAAGCCCGGGGCUCAACCUCGGAAUAGCAUCCGAUACUACCAUGCUAGAGUACUGAAGAGGUGACUAGAAUUCUCGGUGUAGCAGUGAAAUGCGUAGAUAUCGAGAGGAAUACCAACGGCGAAGGCAGGUCACUGGGCAGUUACUGACACUGAGGCACGAAGGCCAGGGGAGCAAACGGGAUUAGAUACCCCUGUAGUC
rnacentral:rRNA from 1 species